GAGAUAGCUCAGUCGGUAGAGCAAAGGACUGAAAAUCCUUGUGUCGGCGGUUCGAUUCCGCCUCUACUCA
rnacentral:tRNA from 1 species